UACGGAGGGGACUAGCGUUGUUCGGAAUUACUGGGCGUAAAGCGCACGUAGGCGGAUUUGUAAGUCAGGGGUGAAAUCCCGGGGCUCAACCUCGGAACUGCCUUUGAUACUGCAAAUCUCGAGUCCGGAAGAGGUGAGUGGAAUUCCUAGUGUAGAGGUGAAAUUCGUAGAUAUUAGGAGGAACACCUGAGGUGAAGACGGGUUGCUGGGCUGACACUGACGCUGAGGCGCGAAAGCCAGGGGAGCAAACGGG
rnacentral:rRNA from 1 species